GGUUGUUUCGAGUCGGACUUAUUAAGUGAGACACAGCAGGGUUCACGUGUAGCCGUGCGGGGUUCAGCAGACAGGUAAGUGAGUUUGAACCCGCACACCUCAGACAGCACACACUCAACACUGGGAACUAAUACAGGCUACAGACUGUACUGAGUACACCUGCUGCUCUCAGCUGAGUGUAAACAAAGCUGUGUUACACCAUAUUUGUGUGUCUACAGUAGUAAUAAACACACACACAGCCACUCUCUCUCUCCCUCUCUCUCUCUUUUUUUAUAAAAAGCUCCCAGUAACUUUUAAUCACAAAGGCAGUGUUUCAAUCUGUAAAUAGACUUUACAGAUGUGUGUACAACUCGUACAAUCUCAAGAUAACACACGUUGUGAAUGUUGGGUCUUUUACUUUUGAUUCAAAUCCAGUUAUCAAGAUACAGAUUCAAAGUUUUCUGGAAGUCAUUAAAUUCUUCUGGUUAUGAUUUUUUGUGGACAAAAAAAAAUUCUUCAUGACAUGUCAAAGCAGCUUAUGUUAUCAGGUGGUCUCAAACAGAAGAUGAGACAUUGCAUUAAUAACAAUGACAGCAGGGGCUUGAUACCUUAAGGCAGUGGUUCUCAAUCCAGUCCUCGAGCUCCCACUGUCCUGCAUGUUUUGGAUGUUUCCCUGCUCCAACACACCUGAUUCAAAUGAUCAGCUCGUUAUCAAGCUCUGUAAUGGCCUAAUAACGAGCUGAUCAUUUGAAUCAGGUGUGUUGGAGCAGGGAAACAUCCGAAACAUGCUGGACAGGGGAAGCUUGAGGACUGGAUUGAGAACUACUGCCUUAAGGCGACAUGGAGUCAAGGUUUCAUGAUAAAACUUGAGUGUCAGAUUGAACUGUUGCACACUCACUGUGACUGUUUUAAUACUUUUAAUUCAUAAAUGGAAUAAAUAACCAGACCGUCUGUCAGCUGUGUCCACAUCCGUCUGCAUGCAUACAUCAGUAUUAUUCAUUCUGCAGCACACAGUUUAAUGUGCAACAUUAUGCCACUAUGAACACUGCAGCUACAUAUAGUCUGUAGUCAAACCUUUGUUACACAAUCAAUGUUGCUCGAAGAAGGGACAGGUAAUGAAGUUUGAAAUAGUCUUGCUUUCACACACAUGUACUGAAAGUAAACUUGUUCUGUUUUGCUCCUGAUAAAUUAUCUGACCCCUCUGCUCUCUGACCUGAACUAACAGUGCUCCCUGUUGGUUGUCAAAUUGAAGUUACAGACCAAUAAUGUGUUUUUAGGAAAUAAGUCUUAUUUUUGACUGAAACUGUGGCAUUAUAUGUAGAAGAUCAUAUUUAAAGCUCCUAUGAGGAUUGUUCUCUUUGUGUUGAUUCUGGCAACCCUCUGUGUAUGGGGCAUUCUUUGUUUUAUUUUGUCUUGGCCUUUUAAAAAGUGUAUUAUUAUUGACAAAAAUCUACCCCUGUUGUUUAUCUAUUAAAUAUGUCUCUCAACGUGAGCUUCAAUCUGUUUUAAUGAAACAUUUUGAUAAAUCAGCACUCAAAAUACUUUUAAAUGAGCUUUUAAGAAUGAUUCAGAUGAAAAUUACUGAUUCGUCUUCACACCAAGCAUCAGAAUGGUGCAGCUCUAUGUUUCACAUCUGUAGAAAUUGUCCUGAUAGUCCUCUUUCUGUUCUGAAUAUCUCUUUUAACCUUUAGAGUCAUCAUGUUCGCUGUGACUCUCUGAUAUCCAGCCUGGUUUCACCGUCUCUUUAGAUAAAAAUGCCAAAGAAAAGCAAAACAAAGAGGCAGAGCGGUGAAGAUGAGCAGCUCCCUCCUAAACAGAGCCGAGUGGAGCCCAGCAACCCUCCCUCCCCUCUCAACUUCCACAGUCCUGCAGACCUGUUCAGCAGCCUCCUUCAGCCUCUGGACUCAGAGACCUUCUUCAGGGAGUUCUGGGAGAAGAAACCGCUCCACCUGCAGAGAAGUGACCCCCUCACAGCGUCGUACUACAAGUCUGUGUUCCAGCUGUCAGACCUACAGGCUCUGUGCUCUCAGGGUCUGCAGUAUUACAGAGAUGUCAACGUGGUCCGCUGCAUCAAGGGCCAGAAGAAAGACCUGAACCAGGAGGGGCGAGUCAAACACACAGUGCUGAAUAAGAACCUGGACCAGAACAAGGCCACCAUCCAGUUCCAUCAGCCUCAGAGGUUCAAGGUGAGGCUCAUGCUAAUACUGGUCUUUCUGUGAGCUGGGUGUUUAGAGUCCCAGGUACCUCCCAUCUUCUUCCAGUUCUUGAAAUGCCCCUAAAGAAGACAAGGAUGCGAGGGCAAGGAGGCACCUGAAGGAGCUCAGAGAGAGGAGAGGAAAUUAUUUGGCCAAAUACAUGACAGUAUGACCUUUGACCUCUGCACAGAUCAUCAAUAAUAAAUCUAUUAUUGUUUGAUAUGUUUUUUUCUCAGGAUGAGUUGUGGAAGAUCCAGGAGAAGUUGGAGUGUUUUUUCGGUGCAUUGGUUGGCUCUAACAUCUACAUCACCCCCGAGGAGUCUCAGGGUCUCCCAGCUCACUAUGACGAUGUUGAGGUACCUUGACCUGAGACACCUGAGUGACAGAGACCUGAAUCCACUGAGCCAAUUACACCCUUUCUGUAAUAUUUGCUUCAUCUCUUACUUAAGAGGUGAACUGUGAAGCAGGUUUACAUUAAGAGUCCAAGUUCUCAUUAUCCUCCAUACAAAUGGGUGUUGAUCAUUUAUAUCUUUUCCGGCAUCAAGUUUGAAAUUGAGGGAAAAUUCUUGGAAAACAAUAACUAUUCAAAGAAUUUUCUUUUGAAGCUCUGUGAAUACAGACACAGAUGUUGUGUUUCCAUCCAGGUGUUUAUUCUUCAGCUCGAGGGACAGAAACGCUGGCGUCUCUACAACCCCACUGUUCCCCUGGCAACAGAGUACUGCGUGGAACCAGAGGACAGGAUUGGCAGCCCCACACACGAGAUCACCCUGAAGGUAGAGAGACUCCGUUAAUCUACGUAUGUGUUUUAAGCAUUUGUGUUUACAUAGAGAUAAUAAAGGCCUCAGGAUUCUCCCACAUUACAGCUUCCCCGUCUUCACAUUCAGGGUCAAACCAGAGUGAACCCACCUUAUCCUCUGGACACUCAGAAAGCCUGACAAAGAAACAGAUCCUCAGUUGAUCCUUCAUGACUAAAACUGAACCUGGCGCAGUUGCCAGUCUGUGCGCUGUUAGAGAGCAGUGAUAGUUACUAGAAAAGAGCAGUGACACUGGUUUGUUAAGUAAUUACAUGGCUAUAGAUUAAUGAUAGUGUGUAGUGAUCAAGUAGCUUUGCAAGAGUUUUGGGUUCAAACUUCUGCCAACUUCUCAGAAUACAUAACCGCCUGUAUUAUGGAGAAAGACUUAAAAGUAAUCAGUAAAACUUCCUGUUCCUGUGUGUGUAACAGUGUGUUUAACUUUAGUGUAUCAGGAGCUUCAGACCAGGUUAAUGUUAGUGUAAACAAACACUCACAGCUGUGAUAUCAGAUAAAGAGUGUAACAUCAAUGUUUUUGUGUGUUUGUCUUCAGGAAGGAGAUCUCCUGUACUUCCCUAGAGGAACCAUCCACCAGGCCAGCACUCCACCAGGAGUCCACCACUCCACCCACCUGACCCUCAGCACCUACCAGAGAAUGUACCUGACACCUCAUCUACCAAACACUCACCCUAAAAUAAACCAUGAAGCUUUCAAAUCAGUUUUAAUGUCACAGGUGAAAAGUCCAGGAGUGCUUAGACAGGUCUGAUCUGUGUUUGAAGGAGGGUUUAAUUGUUCAGUGUUGAUGAGCUGCAGACAUGUAGAGAUUCCUGACUGACCCUGGUGCAGUCACAUGGAUCUAAAUCAGUGGAGCAGAGCAGGUGCUGAUGAUGCUCCUGACAGAUGUCAGAAUAAAACAGGACUUCAAAAAAUAAAACAUGAAAACAUCUGAUUCGACAAAAAGACUCACCUGCAGUAACCUGAGCUCUGAUUGGUCAGUUUCUGACUGAUAUAUUCUUCCUCUCACACCUGUCCUGUACCCCUGUCUCUCAGGUCAUGGGGAGAUCUGCUGUCAAACGUAAUUCCCAGCAUGCUUUGUGACCGCAGCAAGACUGAUGUCAGUCUGAGAGAAGGAAUGCCCCGCCAACUCCUACUGGUAAAAAAAAACAGUUAUCCUGUUUAAUCCAUAAUUUGGUGAGACCUAAACCACACUGGACCUCUGGAGGUGUGCUGUGGUAUCUCUGUUCUAUGUGGAAGUCUGUUUAUUUAAAUGUAUUGGUCUUUGUUUUUCAUAUAUUUUAAAUACUGCGAGAAGUGAAUACUCACCCUGGGCCAGAAGACCCACCCACAUUUUAACGUGGUUCUCUGUGGGUGUUGACUCACUUGAGGAGACAGCUGUUCGAGGAAACUUUAUGAACUGCAGACUUUGGUGCUUCUGCUUCAUUUUUUGUUGUGUGUAUGUGUUCAGGGCAGCAGUGGGAGUGAGGACACUUGCAAGCGUCUGGCAGCUCACCUCAGGGCUCUAGCCGAUGUGAUGGACACAGGUAAACAGGAAGUGAAGUGCGCUCACCUGAAGAGAGACUUCAUCAUGAACAGACUGCCUCCAUACAGCCAGGAGCUCAUCCAGCCCAGUGAGAGUCAUUUUCAUCAUCUAUAAUCUGACAUCCUCACUGACUGUACCACAUGGUGAGCUUGUUUGUGUGCUUUUGUCACAGUGGGGAGGAUCCCAGCUCUAGAGGACCUGGUAUGUUUGAGGUUUAAGGAUCACAUAGUGAUCACAGUGGAGCCCCCCCAGCAGAGAACAGUGAGUACAGUCAUUAUUGUAAUACACGUGAUUCAAACCAUAGAGCUAAAGAUGAACUGUCACAUGAGACCAAAACACACUGUGUUUGCCCCUGUACUGAUUAAUCAAACUAGAUAACACACAUCUCAAGUAAAACACUGUGUAUUUCUGCUUUUGAUUCCAACCAUGAAGAACCGGUGGAGCCUUAGCUUGUGCAUAAGCAAAAACUCCACAUGGUUUUAUUAUGUGUGAGGGAAGCAAACAAUGUUUGACAAAAGUUUUCUAAGCAAUACUUAAAGCCUAAAAUAUUAACAUAUAGUGGAAAAAAGUUUUUUUUUUUUCCUAAAGUGACAUCAGUAAGAUAAAGUUCAUACAUUUAAUAUUCAUUGCAUGUGAAGUUUUUGUUCUGAUUUUAUUGCGGCUUUCCUAGUAUCUUUUUAAAAAAAGUCGCUUGAGGCAGAGGAUAGGUCCUGUAUAUUUGUGUGACACACAGCUACUGUUCCAAAGACACAACCACAAUUCAUUGAAGUUUUCGGAGCUUUAAUAACAUAAAAAAAGGCUUCUACAGCCACCAAUGAUUUACACACACACAUCAGAUAUAAUAUGUGUACACUUGGUGACGUGUAUCAUUGCAAACAAAGAACAUAAAGCGCGGUCAACAAAAAUUACAGCUACCUAGGCUCACCUCUCCACCCCAGUGCAGGUAAGACCGCCCCUUAUAUGACCUACAGCGAAACCAAUGGCAACCAAAAGUAAUUGAACACAGGAUAACCGAUCAGUAAAGCAACAUUAUGGCUCCUACAGAUUUGAUCGUUUGGUUUAUAGCUGGUUUAAUCAGAAAUCCAGAAUCUCAAAAUAUCAAUCAAAAUAAACAAAUUUUGACAAAACAACACGUGAUGGCCUCGCAGAUGCCCUGAGUUUCUUAUUCAUAAGGUUAAAAAGUUGAAAUUAACUAUAUGUUAUAUGCAUGUGUGUGUGUGUUUCAGGAUGAGGAGACAGAGCAGGUUGUUUUUGUCUUACAUUCGCUGAAGAAUCAGAGAGAAAAUCACAUGAUGGGAGAAGAUGAGGAGGAGGAGCAGGAAAUCUCCAGGGUGAGACACUCACACACCUCUCUGACUGGACCUGUCGCUCCCACUGUCUCAUCUCUACUGUCCUUCAGCUGGUUAACCUAAAAGAUCAGUAUAAAUCACAAGAGAUCAGGUGGACAGAUGAAGAAGUGGACCGUGACAGACUGAUGUGAAGGUGUUAUUGCAUAUUUUAAACCUUUUAAAAAUAGGAGUAUAGAGAACAAAACAGAAAAAUCAAGGAGGAAAACUGUAAGUGUAGUCCAGUCAGAAUGACAUAGGAUAUUUAAGAUAAAUACCUUUUUCUGUGUGUGUGUCUCUGCAGGGUCUCCAGUUCCCUCUGUCCCACCUCAGGGCCCUGCAGCAGCUACAGCAGGAGGAGCAGGUCUCAGUGGCCCAGCUCCAGCUGUCCUCUCAGGAGGAUAAACUCAGUCUGGUUCUAGCUCUAUGGUCUGAAAGCCUACUGGAAGCACUAUAACUUGAAAAAUAAACCACCUUCAUCAAGAAGUCAGAGCCUUGUUUCGUAGUUUAAGUGAACCUCUGUGUCUAAGUGUGAUGAUUUUAAUAAAGCUGACUCACUUCCAGCUCUGA